AACUACUGGAAACGGUAGCUAAUACCGCAUAACGUCGCAAGACCAAAGAGGGGGACCUUCGGGCCUCUUGCCAUCGGAUGUGCCCAGAUGGGAUUAGCUUGUUGGUGGGGUAACGGCUCACCAAGGCGACGAUCCCUAGCUGGUCUGAGAGGAUGACCAGCCACACUGGAACUGAGACACGGUCCAGACUCCUACGGGAGGCAGCAGUGGGGAAUAUUGCACAAUGGGCGCAAGCCUGAUGCAGCCAUGCCGCGUGUAUGAAGAAGGCCUUCGGGUUGUAAAGUACUUUCAGCGGGGAGGAAGGGAGUAAAGUUAAUACCUUUGCUCAUUGACGUUACCCGCAGAAGAAGCACCGGCUAACUCCGUGCCAGCAGCCGCGGUAAUACGGAGGGUGCAAGCGUUAAUCGGAAUUACUGGGCGUAAAGCGCACGCAGGCGGUUUGUUAAGUCAGAUGUGAAAUCCCCGGGCUCAACCUGGGAACUGCAUCUGAUACUGGCAAGCUUGAGUCUCGUAGAGGGGGGUAGAAUUCCAGGUGUAGCGGUGAAAUGCGUAGAGAUCUGGAGGAAUACCGGUGGCGAAGGCGGCCCCCUGGACGAAGACUGACGCUCAGGUGCGAAAGCGUGGGGAGCAAACAGGAUUAGAUACCCUGGUAGUCCACGCCGUAAACGAUGUCGACUUGGAGGUUGUGCCCUUGAGGCGUGGCUUCCGGAGCUAACGCGUUAAGUCGACCGCCUGGGGAGUACGGCCGCAAGGUUAAAACUCAAAUGAAUUGACGGGGGCCCGCACAAGCGGUGGAGCAUGUGGUUUAAUUCGAUGCAACGCGAAGAACCUUACCUGGUCUUGACAUCCACGGAAGUUUUCAGAGAUGAAUNGGUGCCUUCGGGAACCGUGAGACAGGUGCUGCAUGGCUGUCGUCAGCUCGUGUUGUGAAAUGUUGGGUUAAGUCCCGCAACGAGCGCAACCCUUAUCCUUUGUUGCCAGCGGUCCGGCCGGGAACUCAAAGGAGACUGCCAGUGAUAAACUGGA
rnacentral:rRNA from 1 species